GCAGCCACUCAUUCAAAGAGUGCGUAAUAGCUCACUGGUCGAGUGAUCCUGCGCCGAAGAUUUCCGGGGCUAAAACUUACUACCGAAGCUACGGCAUCAGUAAUGAUGGGUAGGGGAGCUUCCCAUACGGGUUGAAGCAUGACCGUAAGGACAUGUGGACAGUAUGGGAGUGAGAAUGUUGGCAUGAGUAGCGAGAUGUGGGUGAGAAUCCCACAGGCCGUAAACCCAAGGUUUCCAGGGGAAGGUUCGUCCGCCCUGGGUUAGUCGGGACCUAAGCUGAGGCCGAAAGGCGUAGGUGAUGGACAACAGGUUGAUAUUCCUGUACUACCGAUAACCGUUUGAGAGAUGGGAUGACACAGUAGGAUAAGCUAAGCACACUGUUGGUUAUGUGUGCCCAAGCAUUGAGGCAGUCAAAGUAGGUAAAUCCGCUUUGAUAAUGCUGGGAUGUGAUGGGGAGCGAAAUUUAGUAGCGAAGUAGCUGAUUUCACACUGUCAAGAAAAGGCGCUAUCGAGGUUAAAGGGACCCGUACCGCAAACCGACACAGGUGGGUGAGGAGAGUAUCCUAAGGCCAGCGAGAGAACUGUUGUUAAGGAACUCGGCAAAAUGACCCCGUAACUUAGGGAUAAGGGGUGCCACCAUCAGGUGGCCGCAGAGAAUAGGCCCAAGCGACUGUUUACCAAAAACAUAGGUUUCUGCUAAGUCG
rnacentral:rRNA from 1 species